rnacentral:rRNA from 1 species
GAUGAACGCUGGCGGCGUGCCUAAUACAUGCAAGUCGAGCGAACAGAUGAGGAGCUUGCUCCUCUGACGUUAGCGGCGGACGGGUGAGUAACACGUGGAUAACCUACCUAUAAGACUGGGAUAACUUCGGGAAACCGGAGCUAAUACCGGAUAAUAUAUUGAACCGCAUGGUUCAAUAGUGAAAGACGGUUUUGCUGUCACUUAUAGAUGGAUCCGCGCCGCAUUAGCUAGUUGGUAAGGUAACGGCUUACCAAGGCAACGAUGCGUAGCCGACCUGAGAGGGUGAUCGGCCACACUGGAACUGAGACACGGUCCAGACUCCUACGGGAGGCAGCAGUAGGGAAUCUUCCGCAAUGGGCGAAAGCUUGACGGAGCAACACCGCGUGAGUGAUGAAGGUCUUCGGAUCGUAAAACUCUGUUAUUAGGGAAGAACAAAUGUGUAAGUAACUAUGCACGUCUUGACGGUACCUAAUCAGAAAGCCACGGCUAACUACGUG